rnacentral:rRNA from 1 species
GACGAACGCUGGCGGCGUGCCUAAUACAUGCAAGUAGAACGCUGAAGGAGGAGCUUGCUCUUUCCGGAUGAGUUGCGAACGGGUGAGUAACGCGUAGGUAACCUGCCUGGUAGCGGGGGAUAACUAUUGGAAACGAUAGCUAAUACCGCAUAAGAGUAGAUAUCGCAUGAUAGCUGCUUGAAAGGUGCAAUUGCACCACUACCAGAUGGACCUGCGUUGUAUUAGCUAGUUGGUGAGGUAACGGCUCACCAAGGCAACGAUACAUAGCCGGCCUGAGAGGGUGAUCGGCCACACUGGGACUGAGACACGGCCCAGACUCCUACGGGAGGCAGCAGUAGGGAAUCUUCGGCAAUGGACGGAAGUCUGACCGAGCAACGCCGCGUGAGUGAAGAAGGUUUUCGGAUCGUAAAGCUCUGUUGUAAGAGAAGAACGAGUGUGAGAGUGGAAAGUUCACACUGUGACGGUAUCUUACCAGAAAGGGACGGCUAACUACGUGCCAGCAGCCGCGGUAAUACGUAGGUCCCGAGCGUUGUCCGGAUUUAUUGGGCGUAAAGCGAGCGCAGGCGGUUAGAUAAGUCUGAAGUUAAAGGCUGUGGCUUAACCAUAGUACGCUUUGGAAACUGUUUAACUUGAGUGCAAGAGGGGAGAGUGGAAUUCCAUGUGUAGCGGUGAAAUGCGUAGAUAUAUGGAGGAACACCGGUGGCGAAAGCGGCUCUCUGGCUUGUAACUGACGCUGAGGCUCGAAAGCGUGGGGAGCAAACAGG